rnacentral:rRNA from 1 species
GACGAACGCUGGCGGCGUGCUUAACACAUGCAAGUCGAACGGAAAGGCCCUGCUUUUGUGGGGUGCUCGAGUGGCGAACGGGUGAGUAACACGUGAGUAACCUGCCCUUGACUUUGGGAUAACUUCAGGAAACUGGGGCUAAUACCGGAUAGGAGCUCCUACUGCAUGGUGGGGGUUGGAAAGUUUCGGCGGUUGGGGAUGGACUCGCGGCUUAUCAGCUUGUUGGUGGGGUAGUGGCUUACCAAGGCUUUGACGGGUAGCCGGCCUGAGAGGGUGACCGGCCACAUUGGGACUGAGAUACGGCCCAGACUCCUACGGGAGGCAGCAGUGGGGAAUAUUGCACAAUGGGCGGAAGCCUGAUGCAGCAACGCCGCGUGCGGGAUGACGGCCUUCGGGUUGUAAACCGCUUUCGCCUGUGACGAAGCGUGAGUGACGGUAAUGGGUAAAGAAGCACCGGCUAACUACGUA